GGAGAGCCCGGGAGCAUCCUGCACACUGCAUUUCAGCCACAGAUAACAUGGCACCUCCGCGGGCCCGGUCCACGCCCUGACCGCUCAGAGGGUCUCAGCACCUCUGCGCCCGCAGCCCUUUUCCAGCUGCAGACAUGCUCGGGGGAUCCGGAUCGCAGGGAAGACGCAGCCUGGCCAUGCUCUCCCAUUGUGGGAGUGGGAGGCGAGAGGAGAAAUCAGGAGGCAAAGGAAGGCAAAUCGCCUACCAGCGGAACGACGAUGAUGAGGAAGAGGCCGCCCGGGAACGGCGCCGCCGUGCCCGGCAGGAAAGGCUGCGGCAGAAGCAAGAGGAAGAAUCCUUGGGACAGGUGACUGACCAAGUGGAGGUCAAUACGCAGAACAGUGUGCCCGACGAGGAGGUCAAGACGACCACCACAGACACUCAGGUGGAGGCUGACGAUGAGGCUGCACUCCUGGAGCGCCUGGCCCGGCGGGAGGAAAGACGCCAGAAACGCCUCCAGGAAGCACUGGAGCGCCAAAAGGAUUCCGACCCAACAAUAGCAGAUGCAAGUUUGUUGCUACCCAGCAGAAGAAUGCAAAACAACACAGCAGAAAAUGAAAUGGCAGAGAAGGAAGAAAAAAGCGAAAGUUGCCGGGAAAGAUACGAGAUAGAGGAAACAGAAACAGUCACCAGGUCCCACCAGAAGAAUGAUUGGAUGGAUGCUGAAGAGAAAAGGGAAGAAGAAAAAGAAAAGGAGGAAGAAGAAGAGGAAGAGGAGAAGCCAAAGCAAGGGAGCAUUGAAGAAAAUCAGGUAGAGGUGGUGGCAGAAGAGAAAGCAGCAGAAACCCAGGAGGAAACAGUAAUGUCAUUGAAAAAUGGGCAGAUCGGUACAGAUGAGCCUAAGACAGAAGAGGAGAGGGAAAAAGGCUCACAUGAGAUUCCCCAUAAUGAAAAGAUGGAACAGGAAGCAAGGGAAAGAGCUGAGGCAGAAAGGGCCAGGUUGGAAGCAGAAGAAAGAGAGAGAAUUAAAGUCGAGCAAGAACAAAAAAUAGCAGAGGAGAAAGCGAGAAAGGAAGCAGAAGAAAAAGCAGCUGCACAAGAGAGAGAAAGACAGGAGGCAAAGGAGAGGGAAAGGAUUAAGGAGGAGGAGAGAAGGGCAGCAGAGGAGAGGCAGAGGGCAAAGGAGAGGGAAAGGAUUAAGGAGGAGGAGAGAAGGGCAGCAGAGGAGAGGCAGAGGGCAAAGGCAGAGGAAGAAGAGAGAGCUAAGAUAGAAGAGCAAAAACGUAAGAAGCAACUAGAAGAGAAAAAAAGGGAAAUGCAAGAGAAAAAGAUAAAAGGGGAAAAGGUAGAGGAGAAAACAGAAGGGAAGUGGGUCAAUGAAAAGAAAGUACAAGAAGAUAAACUUCAGACAGCUGUCCAAAAGAAACAGAUCAAAGAUGAGAAGACUAAAAGGGACAAAGAAAGCAAAGAAGUUAAGAGCUUCUUGGAUGGAAAGAAGGGAUUUACAGAAAUGAAGUCGCAGAAUGGAGAAUUCAUGACUCACAAACUUAAACACACUGAGAAUACUUUCAGCCGCCCUGGAGGGAGGGCCAGCGAGGCCAAGGAGGCUGAAGGUGCUUCCCAAGUGGAAGCCGGCAAGCGGCUGGAGGAGCUGCGCCGCCGCCGCGGGGAAACUGAAAGCGAGGAGUUCGAGAAGCUCAAGCAGAAGCAGCAGGAGGCGGCCUUGGAGCUGGAGGAGCUGAAGAAGAAGAGGGAGGAGCGAAGGAAGGUCCUGGAGGAGGAGGGGCAGAGGAGAAAGCAGGAGGAAGCCGAGCGGAGAGUCAGAGAGGAGGAAGAGAAGAGGAGGCUAAAGGAAGAGAUUGAAAGGCGAAGGGCAGAAGCUGCUGAGAAACGCCAAAAGAUGCCAGAAGAUGGCUUAUCAGACGACAAGAAGCCCUUCAAGUGUUUCACUCCUAAAGGUUCAUCUCUCAAGAUAGAAGAGCGAGCAGAAUUUUUGAAUAAAUCUGUGCAGAAAAGCAGUGGUGUUAAACCAACUCAUCAAGCAGCAGUAGUCUCCAAGAUUGACAGCAGACUGGAGCAAUACACCAGUGCAAUUGAGGGAACAAAAACUGCAAAACCUACGAAGCCAGCAGCCUCGGACCUCCCUGUUCCUGCCGAAGGUGUCCGCAACAUCAAGAGCAUGUGGGAGAAAGGCAAUGUGUUCUCAUCACCCACUGCAUCAGGCACGCCAAAUAAGGAAACAGCUGGCUUAAAGGUGGGGGUCUCCAGCCGCAUCAAUGAAUGGCUUACCAAAACCCCAGAUGGAAACAAGUCACCUGCUCCCAAACCUUCUUACACGGGCCCCUCACCGCCGCGGCCCCUCCCGCCGCGGAGCACAGGCUCCGGACGCGCAGGCCCAGCGGCCAUGGCCCACGGGCCCAGCCGCUCCGUGGCAUGCGGGGUCCUCCCGGACCGGGGCACGAACCCGCGUCCCCUGCAUCAGCAGGCAGACUCCCAACCACUGCGCCACCAGGGAAGCCCUAUAUUCCUUCUUUUAAAUUAUAAUUUGAACAUGUUUUUAAGGUGUGGAGGCAUGCAUUCUUUAACUUGUUGAUUCCUUCUUUUUUAAAAUUUUCUUAAACCAGCCUCUUCAGGCAUGUGUUUCCAGCCUGGCCCUUCAUGUCAGGCCUGUGAGUUUGACACCCUUGGGAUUCUGGUCAGACUGACCCUGAACCCAGGAUGUCAGAGGAUUACCUAAAGACAGCAGCAAAUAGACUCCCAAAGGCUCCCUUCUAAUUUGCGACCAGAGCUGAAUUUUCUUCUUCAUUCUUUGAUCUCUGGUUGACUGGAAACCUGCUUCCCUGCCUUCAUUUCUCCCUCUUCUUCUGGAGUGGGUCUUUCUCUAAAAUGUAGGCUGGUCAGGAUUUGAGGCCAGGAGACGUAUCUGGCAAGCGGAACCUCUGGGAAAAGCAAUCUGUGGACAAGGUCACUUCCCCCACUAAGGUCUGAGACAGUUCAAGAAAGAACCCAAAGUAGCCGCUCAAGAUGCCGGACCAGCUCAGUUGAAGAGGGCUCAUUUACUCUGUGUUAUAUUUAUGUUGAUUUACUAAAUUGGGUUCAUUUCCUUUUGUUUUGUUUUUCAUUAUCCCAGUAAACCCAUGUAUAUUAUCACUAUAUUUAAUAAUCACGGUCUAGAGAUGUUCAUGGUAAAAGUAUUGCCUUUGCACAGGAGCCUGUUUCUAAAGAAACCCAUGCUGUGAAAUAGAGACUUUUCUACUGAUCAUCAUAACUCUGUGUCUGAACAGUGAUAGUAACCACAUCGGAAGUCAACAAAAGGAGAUUCAAGUUGAAAAUUGCCUGAGGAAUGUGUGCAGUAUCCAGAAAAAUGAACCAUAGUGUUUUUUUUGUUUUUUUGUUUUUUAAAUACAGAAAUCAUGUUGUUUCUGCACUUUAGAAUAAAGCAUGGAAGAAAUUAUCUUAGUAGGCAAUUAUAACACUUUGUGAAAGUCACCCACUUCAGAUUUUAGAUACUACAAUAAUGAUUGUCUUUAAAAAAAAAAAAGAUGUACUGUUAAGGUAUUACUUUUUUCAUGCUGAUGAAUAUCUAAAUUGGAUUUUGAUGUUAGCUGACAGUGGUACUGAUUUCUUUAGGUUGGUUGCUUUGUGGAUUUCUUUGGUAGUGAUAGUGAACCACAUUUUAGAUGACGUGAUCAUGUAUGUAUGUGCAUACACAUAUACAAACACACUAAUGGUAGAAAGCUUUUCUAUGUGCUAGGCUAUUAUAUUUAGCAGUAUGUCCCUGUAACUAGCCAAUAUCACUGCUUUUUAAAAAUUAAAAAUCACAAUAUUAUAUUAAUAUUUGCCAAUAGAAACAUGGCAGAAUAGGUAUCGAUAUGUUUCCAAUGCCCAAUAACCUAUAAGAAAGAGAUUAGAAAUGUCAAAAUGAAUUGACAUUUUCUAUAAAGCAUAGUAUUUAGUUUAUAAUUAAAAGCAGUCUUGAAGUCCAGUGUGAAUUGUACUAAAUCUCAAAGCUUGCUCCAAACUUCAUUCUUAAGAAUCAAGUUCACAAUCGGUUGGCUUAGAUGAUGUCUGAGGUCUCUUCCUUCUCUAAAAUUUAAACACGAGAAUUUUAGUGACAAAGUUGUACAGAUUGGAAUUCCAUGAAUAGGUGUACUACGGCCAACUUUGGGUAAUCUCUGGAAGCAGAAAAGUAAGCAAAAGCCAAUAUUUAGGAGUCAUGACAGUACUUCCAUCUUUAACUUACCGAAACAUCUUUUUAGUUUACUUUUCUACCUUUAUUAGUCAUUGGCACUUGCCAUAAGUUGAUAAUGUGUUGAACUUUCAAAAAAUAUAUGUAAUUUUUAUUAGUUUUACCUUUUUCCCUAAGAGUCUAUCAACUCGUCAUUUGUACACACCCAAUCCAGGUAUCAGAUCUUAUUUUAGCUAAUAAGCGUUCAUCUAUUCUUCACAAUAGAUGAUAAAAGAGUACUCCAGUGUCUUGGCAAUAUGUUCUAGCAUAGAGAUAUACAUAUAGUGUAGUUCUAUAAACGUAUACCUCAUGACUUACCAAAAUUGUCUUAGUCUCAAUUCCUACACAACGAGGGAGCCUCCCAAAUGACUCUUUUCUAAUCCACAGUGUUCCCCUGGGAGAGCUAGCCAGGGUAGGGCUGGCAUGAGGAGUGACCAGUGCCUUCCAAAGUCCAUUUUCCUCAUAAAUCAGUAGAGUUGUUGAAUCCUCUAGCUUUUAGCACAUCUGGGCCAAAGAAAGUAAAGCCAGCAAUAUUGCAUAAGUCACCCAUCCAUGACAGAGUAGACAUGAGUCUGUGAUACGAUGGACUAGAAUUCACAUGCAGUGCCUGAGUUGGCAUUGCCUCCCAGCAUUCGGGUGAAAUGGAUCAAAGUUUGAAUUAAGUCCUAUGGCAAGAUAACAUUUCUUUGUUGUACUUUUGAAUAAGAGCCUCUCCUGAUCACUAUUAUAUGUUUUUUUCUAGAAAGUCUAAAUUUAAGAAGAGAAUAUAUCGAUCGAUCCUGACUUUUAUUCCAAUAUUUGGAUGGAAUAAGUUUUAAGGUAGAAUUUUGUUCAGUUUGGAUUUAAUUUCUUGAAAAAUUCCUUGUUUACUUGUUUGAUUACAAUUCUCUCUGUUAUCUUUUUAAGAAGUAAAACUGCAAGGUGACUAGCAUGUUCUGUGAAUCUGCCAUUCCUAAAAAUUUUAUAAACACGAUAUUUUUCACUGAUAAUUGAUCGCUGCAAUAAAUAUAUAUUGUGAAAAUGCAUCCACAAUAAAUGGAAUUCCUCCAAAUGUCUUUGCCUCACUUAUUUUUAUGUACUAUAUUGAUUACAAGAGUUCUAUCUGAUGUAAUAAAGAUGAUGGUAUAGCAAAAUGCAUAUUUCA